UNGGAUCCCAUUCUUUGCCAAUUAGUGCCC
rnacentral:piRNA from 1 species